rnacentral:rRNA from 1 species
AACGAACGCUGGCGGCAGGCCUAACACAUGCAAGUCGAGCGCCCCGCAAGGGGAGCGGCGGACGGGUGAGUAACGCGUGGGAACGUGCCCUUCGCUACGGAAUAGCCUCGGGAAACUGGGAGUAAUACCGUAUGUGCCCUACGGGGGAAAGAUUUAUCGGCAAAGGAUCGGCCCGCGUUGGAUUAGGUAGUUGGUGGGGUAAUGGCCUACCAAGCCGACGAUCCAUAGCUGGUUUGAGAGGAUGAUCAGCCACACUGGGACUGAGACACGGCCCAGACUCCUACGGGAGGCAGCAGUGGGGAAUCUUGGACAAUGGGCGCAAGCCUGAUCCAGCCAUGCCGCGUGAGUGAUGAAGGCCUUAGGGUUGUAAAGCUCUUUUACCCGGGAAGAUAAUAACUGUACCGGGAGAAUAAGCCCCGGCUAACUCCGUGCCAGCCGCCGCGGUAAGAC